rnacentral:rRNA from 1 species
ACAUCCAGCGAACUUGGCAGAGAUGCCUUGGUGCCUUCGGGAACGCUGAGACAGGUGCUGCAUGGCUGUCGUCAGCUCGUGUUGUGAAAUGUUGGGUUAAGUCCCGCAACGAGCGCAACCCUUAUCCUUUGUUGCCAGCGAUUCGGUCGGGGACUCAAAGGAGACUGCCGGUGAUAAACCGGAGGAAGGUGGGGAUGACGUCAAGUCAUCAUGGCCCUUACGAGUAGGGCUACACACGUGCUACAAUGGCGCAUACAAAGAGAAGCGACCUCGCGAGAGCAAGCGGACCUCAUAAAGUGCGUCGUAGUCCGGAUCGGAGUCUGCAACUCGACUCCGUGAAGUCGGAAUCGCUAGUAAUCGUGGAUCAGAAUGCCACGGUGAAUACGUUCCCGGGCCUUGUACACACCGCCCGUCACACCAUGGGAGUGGGUUGCAAAAGAAGUAGGUAGCUUAACCCUCGGGAGGGCGCUUACCACUUUGUGAUUCAUGACUGGGGUGAAGUCGUAACAAGGUAAGCGUAGCGAG